GACGAACGCUGGCGGCGUGCUUAACACAUGCAAGUCGAACGGACAGGCCCUGCUUUUGUGGGGUGCUCGAGUGGCGACCGGGUGAGUUACACGUGAGUAACCUGUACCUGACUUUGGGUUAACCUAAGGCAACUGGGGCUCAUACCGGAUAGGAGCUCCUGCCGUUUGGUGGGGGUUGGACAGUUUCGGCGGUUGGGGAUGGACUUGCGGCUUAUCAGCUUGUUGGUGGGGUAGUGGAUUACCAAGGCUUUGACAGGUUGCCGGUCUGAGAGGGUAGCCGGCCACAUUGGGUCUGAGAUACGGCCCGGACUCCUACGGGAGGCAGCAGUGGGGAAUAGUGCACUAUGGGCGGAAGGCUAGUGCAGCAACGCCACGUGGGGGAUGACAGCCAUCGGGUUGUAAACCGCUUUCGCCUGUGACGAAGCGAUAGUGACGGUAAUGGGUAAAGAAGCACCGGCUAACUACGUG
rnacentral:rRNA from 1 species